GACGAACGCUGGCGGCGUGCCUAAUACAUGCAAGUAGAACGCAGUUGCGAACGGGUGAGUAACGCGUAGGUAACUGCCUCAUAGCGGGGGAUAACUAUUGGAAACGAUAGCUAAUACCGCAUACUGUGAGAUGGACCUGCGUUGUAUUAGCUAGUUGGUGAGGUAAAUGCUCACCAAGGCGUCGAUACAUAGCCGACCUGAGAGGGUGAUCGGCGCCACCGGGACUUGGGCAAGGCCCCGGCUCCUUAGGGAGGGAGCAGUAGGGAAACUUCGGCAAUGGACGGAAGGCUGACCGAGCAACGCCGCCGGAGGGAAGAAGGGUCUCGGAUCGGAAAGCUCCGUUGUGAGAGGAGCGGUAACUAACCAGAAAGCGACGGCUAACUACGUGCCAGCAGCCGCGGUAAUUC
rnacentral:rRNA from 1 species